ACUCUACAUUAUCUUUGUAUUUCCUUAAUCUGUUUAAAAUUAUUUCCACUCUCUCUUCUGGUACAUGAGAUAAACAGGAAAAUAGUAUUGGGGUCCAUAGCUUUUUUUUUUUUUUUUUUUUUUUUUUCCCAAUAUGAAUAGUAUGUAAACAAGCCCUUAGUGUAUGCGAAAGAAUUUUUCCGUUUAAAAGCUCUGAGUUUUAGUUUGAGCUCCUUGUUAUUUCCAGGUCUUGAUCUGAACAUCUGACAAGGCUGGAGGCCAUAACCAAUGCUGGUUCCUCGUCUGUAGAUUUAUGUUCUGUGACAUAAAUCAGAGUAGCUCAUUGUAUUUCAUGAAAUGGGGCAUACUGACUGUGGAGGAGCUAUGCUAAGUGGUACCGACAACGAAUAUGGUCCCUGGGUUGUACUGAUUUUGCAUUGGCUAAGGAUUUGAUUUUUGCUGAACUGGAGUAAUCAUAAUGACAAACGUGUUGGGGAAGUGACUUGUGAAUUAUGUAGUGGAAAAGCUGGUCACUGCACCUUUAAAGCAGAAAUGACACCACAGCUUCUGCAGUGCAGAGAAGCAGAUAGGGCGGAUUCAAAUGAGGCAAUAAAUAACUUACAUCCAGAAUUGGGUGCUGAGCGCAUGGUUCCAGUGGUGAAAGGGUAAUUAUGUGUCAGUCAGCGUCCUGUGCUUUGUACUGUAGAGGAGAAUUUUGACUUGAAUACAACAUUCUUGAAUAUGAAGACUCAUGACUAUAUAAGACAUAGAUCCUAUUUCCAUCCUUACGCUGGAAAAAUCCCUUCAGGACAGAAACAGUGCUUCAGGACAGAAACAUUGGACACACCUUUAAAUGCAUGCAGAUCUUGUAAGAUGUUGCAUUUUGUUUCCAGAGAAGGUGAUACCAGUCCCUGAAUAAUUUUGCCAGUGAUCUUCUAUCAGCAUAUCAAAAAAACAAUUUUGAAAAACUUGGACAAGAUGAGAGGAAAAAAAAAGUGCUGAAAGAAAAUCAGACUAGCACAAAUUCAAUCAGUGACAGGAACUGAAGUUUCAGAAGCAGAUGCAAGAAAUUUCAUGUGCAUUCAGUAUGGAAAUAAACUGCAUAUGAGGGGUGCA
rnacentral:lncRNA from 1 species